UUUGGAUGGACAAAACGUUGGUUACCAAAGUCAGGUUCGGAAGAAAGCAGCUUAAACCUUUUGCUUUUGGGUCGUUCUUGGUU
rnacentral:SRP_RNA from 1 species